rnacentral:rRNA from 1 species
CAGGCCUAACACAGCAAGUCGAACGUGAAGCCACCUUCGGGUGGUGGAAAGUGGCAGACGGGGAGUAACGCGUGGGAACGUACCCUUCGGUUCGGAAUAACCCGGGGAAACCGGGCUAAUACCGGAUACGUCCGCAAGGAGAAAGAUUUAUCGCCGAAGGUCGGCCCGCGUCCGAUUAGCUUGUUGGUGGGGUAGUGGUCCACCAAGGCACGAUCGGUAGCUGGUCUGAGAGGAUGAUCAGCCACACUGGGACUGAGAACGGCCCAGACUCCUACGGGAGGCAGCAGUGGGGAAUAUUGGACAAUGGCGAAAGCCUGAUCCAGCCAUGCCGCGUGAGUGAAGAAGGCCCUAGGGUUUAAAGCUCUUUCAGCGGGGAAGAUAAUGACGGUACCCGCAGAAGAAGCCCGGCUAACUUCGUGCCAGCAGUCGCGGUAAU